rnacentral:rRNA from 1 species
GGUGAACGCUGGCGGCGUGCCUAAUACAUGCAAGUCGAGCGAACAGAUGAGAAGCUUGCUUCUCUGAUGUUAGCGGCGGACGGGUGAGUAACACGUGGGUAACCUACCUAUAAGACUGGGAUAACUCCGGGAAACCGGGGCUAAUACCGGAUAAUAUUUUGAACCGCAUGGUUCAAUAGUGAAAGACGGUUUCGGCUGUCACUUAUAGAUGGACCCGCGCCGUAUUAGCUAGUUGGUAAGGUAACGGCUUACCAAGGCGACGAUACGUAGCCGACCGGAGAGGUGGAUCGGCCACACUGGAACUGAGACACGGUACAGACUCCUACGGGAGGCAGCAGUAGGGAAUCGUCCGCAAUGGGCGAAAGCCUGACGGAGCAACGCCGCGUGAGUGAUGAAGGUCUUCGGAUCGUAAAACUCUGUUGUUAGGGAAGAACAAAUCUGUUAGUAACUGAACAAGUCUUGACGGUACCUAACCAGAAAGCCACGGCUAACUACGUGCCAGCCGCCGCAGUAA